UCAGGUUGGCCAAAAUGAAGGCCGACGGACAACGGCACGGAACACACCAAACAGACUUGAGUCACCGACCUCGUCAGACUGUCCGACAGCCGAUUAUUGGGUUGGUGUGUCAGCACCUUUAAGU